rnacentral:rRNA from 1 species
AAGCUCGUAGUUGAAUUUCGGGGUCAGUAGGUUGGUCGUGCCACCGGUACGUACUGGUCUCACUGAUUCCUCCUUCCUGAUGAGCUGUAAUGCCAUUAAUUUGGUGUUGCAGGGAAUCUGGACUGUUACUUUGAAAAAAUUGAGUGUUUAAAGCAGGCUAACGCUUGAAUACAUUAGCAUGGAAUAAUGAAAUAGGACGUUCGAUCCUAUUUGUGGUUUCUAGGAUUGACGUAAUGAUUAAUAGGGAUAGUUGGG